CCAAGUUCUUCUGCAAGAACACAUGCAGCAGAAGAUAUUCUCAUUAAGACACAAGACGUCAGCGCUCAGAACGGCAGAUACAGCAUUGCAUACAAAAAUGAAUCUUCUAGUAGAGGAACAGUGGCCAUCACAAAUCUGACCAAGUCUGACUCAGGCCGGUACAGGUGCGGCUUGGGCAGAACUUCAUAUUGGGACUUUGAGGCCAGAGUUUCAGAUGAACCGUUGUUGGAUAAAACUCAGUUUCUCCACACAGACAUCGAAGGAGAAGAUAUCACGUAUCCAUGCAGCUACACCGUCUACGGAAAACACAAGUUCUUCUGUAAGGACAACUGUAAUAAACAAGAAGACAUUCUCGUUGAAACGGACGGCAACAGAGGUCAGAGUGGCAGAUAUCUCAUUGAAUACAGAGAUAAGUCCAUAUUUGGAUUGUAUGUGACCAUCAAACAGGCGACCACCUCUGACACAGGACGAUACAUGUGUGGUUAUGGCAAAGCGCUGUCUCCGGAUUCAAGACGCAAGUUUACUGUUAUUGUCAUAGAUGACCCAACAUCAACAUCAGUUCCAGCUGCCCCGACACCAACAACACACUCAGCAGUUCUCAGCGGCCACAAGAACAACCAGC